AUUGUCGGAGCAACGCCUCCGCUUUCUUGGUCACCCCCCGGCCCAGGCUGGAAUGGGAGGACCCAGCGCGCCACGUGACCGAAUACUGCGCGUCACGUGACGAGGAAGCAGCGCAGCGGCGCCCGGGGAAGGAGUAGCUCUGGCGGAGCUUCUAGCAACCGUGGCGUCGGGCCCUGAGGCGCGCAGGAUUGGAGCUCCUCGAAUUUUCCCCCUCAGAUACGCUAGUUGCGGGUGGUGUCCCGUGAUGGGGGGCAUGAGUCCUGUCUCACCAUGUCUGGCUGGCGGCGACCCAGGUGCCACGUGAUGGUCAUUUGAAGACAGGCCUGUCGGAUGUCAGAUGCCUGGGAUGUGGACAAGAUGCCUGGAGAUUCAGAAACCAUUUGUGAUCAUGAAGACAAAAGCCACAAAGGACAUCAGCCUUGGACAGCCGAACACCUACACCUUAUAUGAGAAAAAUAAGCCACUUGUCUACUGGAGCCAUUCUUACUUGAAGCUGACUGCCACUUCAGCUAUGGUUUAAGGAUUCAAAACACUUU